GACGAGGACCAAGCGUUGUCCGGAAUUAUUGGGCGUAAAGAGCUUGUAGGCGGUUUGUCGCGUCUGCUGUGAAAUUUCGGGGCUCAACCCCGAACUUGCAGUGGGUACGGGCAGACUAGAGUGUGGUAGGGGGAGACUGGAAUUCCUGGUGUAGCGGUGAAAUGCGCAGAUAUCAGGAGGAACACCGGUGGCGAAGGCGGGUCUCUGGGCAACAACUGACGCUGAGGAGCGAAAGCGUGGGGAGCGAACGG
rnacentral:rRNA from 1 species